UACGUAGGGGGCAAGCGUUGUCCGGAAUUAUUGGGCGUAAAGAGCUCGUAGGCGGUCUGUCGCGUCUGCUGUGAAAACUCGGGGCUUAACCCCGGGCCUGCAGCCGAUACGGGCAGACUAGAGUUCGGCAGGGGAGACUGGAAUUCCUGGUGUAGCGGUGAAAUGCGCAGAUAUCAGGAGGAACACCGGUGGCGAAGGCGGGUCUCUGGGCCGAUACUGACGCUGAGGAGCGAAAGCGUGGGGAGCGAACAGG
rnacentral:rRNA from 1 species